rnacentral:rRNA from 1 species
CAGUAGCCGCGGGAAUACGAAGGGGGCUAGCGUUGUUCGGAUUUACUGGGCGUAAAGCGCACGUAGGCGGACUUUUAAGUCAGGGGUGAAAUCCCGGGGCUCAACCCCGGAACUGCCUUUGAUACUGGGAGUCUUGAGUUCGAGAGAGGUGAGUGGAAUUGCGAGUGUAGAGGUGAAAUUCGUAGAUAUUCGCAGGAACACCAGUGGCGAAGGCGGCACACUGGCUCGAUACUGACGCUGAGGUGCGAAAGCGUGGGGAGCAAACAGGAUUAGAUACCCCCGUAGUCCCUGUCUCUUAUAC